rnacentral:lncRNA from 1 species
AUCCGCUUCUAGUUCGACUUUCUGUAAUCGAAUUCGAGCUUUUUCGAGUUGCUCAAUGGUCCCUCUACGCAAUUCUUCUGAAUUUCGAAUAGUACUCAAGAUCCUCUGUUUUCGAUUAUCUAAUAAAUCUUUUAAUGAAAGUAGAUUAUUUUGUAAGUUUACAACUUUUAUGAUCUCUUCCCGAACCAAACAUGAAUCUUUCGAUUCAUUUGGCUCUCACGCUCCUUAUUUUUUUUUCUAUAGCUAUUUCCAUAUCUUUUUUGAAGUAAUGAGCCUAUCCUCUAUCUUCUUUUUUAUGUUUAUAUUUCAAUAUACCGAAACCUAUAUAAGACUAGAUAAAUAUUAAGAGGACUCUUCCGCCUAGAUAAAAAUAUAUCAUGGUCAGCAAAGUUGUUUCUUUAUUUUUAUUUGCCCUCUUUAAUAAUUUCAAUUUCAUUAAGAAAAACUAACUAAAUAAAUGGAAAAUGAAAAUUAAUAGAAUUCUUUUUUUUCUUCAAAUCCAAAAAAUUUCUCUUUUUUAUACAUAGGUCGUCGAUUCGGCAUUGGUUAAAAAAGGGUAGGGUGCCCCCUUUUUUUUCUAGUAAAUAGUUCAAACCAUUUUAUCGAUACGAGUGUUCUAUAUCAGAUAAAUUUUACAUUAGCUAUUUCCCAUUUAAAUUCGGUACUAAUACUAAUAUAGUUGUAGAAAGAGUACCUCUUUUUGCCUGGACUUCAAGCAGUUUAGCUUUAACCGUGUUAAUGGUCUCACAUUAUUGGUUUAUAGAGAAUCAAAGUUGAUUUACCAAUGAGUCGCGAAAUGCUAUGGUUCUUCCAUAUGAUUUCUGAAUUUAUUCAGAAGUAAUUCGUCGAGAUCGUGCACCCUUUUCUUAUUUAUCCGAAAAAUACUAAAAAAUAUUAUAAAGUGCAGCCGGAUAGAUCCAAUCUAUUCUUGAAAUAGACAACUCGCACACACUCCCUUUCCAAAAAAAAUCAAAACACCAACCACUACAAUUAGAUUUAUUAGAUUUGUAGCUAAAAUAUCGGUAUUAAGCCCGAAACUACCAGCGGAUGGCCAGUGAGCUAAAAAAACGAAAGAAUGGGUUACAUUUUUCAUAUGCUCUCCUCUUAUAGAUAGGACGAACAAAGAACAAAGUUUUUCGAUCACUUACUUCGCUCGCCCUUUUUUGAUCGGGUUUUUUUAAUGCAAAUAGAUUCAAUCUAGUAAUUUCUUUUAGAUUAAGUCUUACGUCUUGUUUGACUGGUGAAAGACUUCCUUUGUUGAAAUGUUCUGUUCCCAAAAUUCCUAAAAUAAAAGGAAAAAACUUUCCACUUUCCUAAACUAAGGACGGGAAAUAAGAAGGUGAGCAUAUCUUCUAAAUUAAUAAUACUCAACUCAGCCCUUCCUAGAAUGGGGUAUUAUCUGUCCCGAUAAAUAGAUAAUUCCAGGAGUAAUAAAUAGGAGUAAAUUAAAUAAAGUAUUGAUAUAAUUGGAAUUGC